rnacentral:rRNA from 1 species
GAUGAACGCUGGCGGCGUGCCUAAUACAUGCAAGUAGAACGCUGAAGGAAGGAGUUUGCUCUUCUGGAUGAGUUGCGAACGGGUGAGUAACGCGUAGGUAACCUGCCUGGUAGCGGGGGAUAACUAUUGGAAACGAUAGCUAAUACCGCAUAACAGUAGAUGUUGCAUGACAUCUGCUUGAAAGGUGCAAUUGCACCACUACCAGAUGGACCUGCGUUGUAUUAGCUAGUUGGUGAGGUAACGGCUCACCAAGGCGACGAUACAUAGCCGACCUGAGAGGGUGAUCGGCCACACUGGGACUGAGACACGGCCCAGACUCCUACGGGAGGCAGCAGUAGGGAAUCUUCGGCAAUGGACGGAAGUCUGACCGAGCAACGCCGCGUGAGUGAAGAAGGUUUUCGGAUCGUAAAGCUCUGUUGUAAGAGAAGAACGAGUGUGAGAGUGGAAAGUUCACACUGUGACG